AUUGAACGCUGGCGGCAGGCUUAACACAUGCAAGUCGAGCGGGGUGAUGGUGCUUGCACUAUCACUUAGCGGCGGACGGGUGAGUAAUGCUUAGGAAUCUGCCUAUUAGUGGGGGACAACAUCUCGAAAGGGAUGCUAAUACCGCAUACGUCCUACGGGAGAAAGCAGGGGAUCACUUGUGACCUUGCGCUAAUAGAUGAGCCUAAGUCGGAUUAGCUAGUUGGUGGGGUAAAGGCCUACCAAGGCGACGAUCUGUAGCGGGUCUGAGAGGAUGCACCGCCACACUGGGACUGAGACACGGCCCAGGCUCCUACGGCAGGCAGAAGUAGGGAAUAUUGGACAAUGGGGGGAACCCUGAUCCAGCCAUGUCGCGUGUGUGCAGAAGGCCUUAUGGUUGUAAAGCACUUUAAGCGAGGAGGAGGCUCUUUUGGUUAAUACCCAAGAUGAGUGGACGUUACUCGCAGAAUAAGCACCGGCUAACUCUGUGCCAGCCGCCGCGGUAA
rnacentral:rRNA from 1 species